rnacentral:rRNA from 1 species
UACGUAGGGUGCAGGCGUUAAUCGGAAUUACUGGGCGUAAAGCGUGCGCAGGCGGUUUUGUAAGCCAGAUGUGAAAUCCCCGGGCUUAACCUGGGAAUGGCAUUUGGGACUGCAAGGCUGGAGUGUGGCAGAGGAGACUGGAAUUCCUGGUGUAGCAGUGAAAUGCGUAGAUAUCAGGAGGAAUACCGAUGGCGAAGGCAGGUCUCUGGGCUGACACUGACGCUCAUGCACGAAAGCGUGGGGAGCAAACAGG